rnacentral:rRNA from 1 species
GAUGAACGCUGGCGGCGUGCCUAACACAUGCAAGUCGAACGGAAACACAGUGAGAUUGUGCUCUUACCGGUGGCGGGUGGCGGGCGGGUGACGAGUGCAUCGUACUCUUCUUUUUCGGGGAGGAUAACGUAAGGCAGGUUACGAUAAUACCGCAUAUCAUCUACCGCUGAGAGCAUUGGAUAUUCUCGCCUUGCGCGAUUGAAUUAGCCGAUUUCGGACUAGCUAGUUGGCGGGGUAAUGGCCCACCAAGGCGACGAUCCGUAGCUUGUCUGAGAGGAUGAUCAGCCACACUGGAACUGAGACACGGUCCAGACUCCUACGGGAGGCAGCAGUGGGGAAUGUUGGGCAAUGGGCGGAAGCCUGACACAGCAAGACCGCGUGGGUGAAGAAGGCCUUCGGGUCGUAAAGCCCUGUUGUUGGGAAAGAACAGCUGUAGGAUAAUACCCCGCUGUUCUGACGGUACCAAAAGAAGAAGCACCGGCUAACUACGUG